UGUGUGAGUCAGUGGCCCACAGGGGUCCAAGAUAGAAAGGAAAGAAGCAACUACUGAAUUUAACAUUAACAAAAAAUCAAAUGUGCUUAUUAGUAUAAAACUAUAUAUAUGUUGUGUCACUCAAGGAAAUCACUACUGUGCAUGUUGUAUGUACUAGAAGUCACAUACCUGGGGGGAGAGAAUUCUUCUCAUAAGAAUGGCCUCAGGAUAGAGUCCAGUUCUCUUUGGCAGUUUUGCCAGAGGACCGAUAGUUUUGUCCUUCGUUGUCAGCCUUGUUCUGCUGACUCUCUCUUUUGUUGUUGCUGUUUCGUAUCUGUUGAUAAUUUUUGUUCGUUCUUCCUCCUCUCUCCCUCCAUUCGCUGAUUCAACCUCCUCCUGAUUGUUUUGUAUUCCUACUGACCUUAUGACAUUAAGUAAUAGAAGUAAAUUUCCAUUCUCACGGAUGAUUAUCAAUUCCUUUGAAUUUCACUUAUACAUAAUAUAUGCAUUUUCUGCAAUACAUUGUUAUAUUUUUUUGUGAUUAUAUAUUUAAUAUAAAUU
rnacentral:lncRNA from 1 species